GUCGAGCGGGCGUAGCAAUACGUCAGCGGCAGACGGGUGAGUAACGCGUGGGAACGUACCUUUUGGUUCGGAACAACACAGGGAAACUUGUGCUAAUACCGGAUAAGCCCUUACGGGGAAAGAUUUAUCGCCGAAAGAUCGGCCCGCGUCUGAUUAGCUAGUUGGUAGGGUAACGGCCUACCAAGGCGACGAUCAGUAGCUGGUCUGAGAGGAUGAUCAGCCACAUUGGGACUGAGACACGGCCCAAACUCCUACGGGAGGCAGCAGUGGGGAAUAUUGGACAAUGGGGGCAACCCUGAUCCAGCCAUGCCGCGUGAGUGAUGAAGGCCCUAGGGUUGUAAAGCUCUUUUGUGCGGGAAGAUAAUGACGGUACCGCAAGAAUAAGCCCCGGCUAACUUCGUGCCAGCAGCCGCGGUAAUACGAAGGGGGCUAGCGUUGCUCGGAAUCACUGGGCGUAAAGGGUGCGUAGGCGGGUCUUUAAGUCAGGGGUGAAAUCCUGGAGCUCAACUCCAGAACUGCCUUUGAUACUGAAGAUCUUGAGUUCGGGAGAGGUGAGUGGAACUGCGAGUGUAGAGGUGAAAUUCGUAGAUAUUCGCAAGAACACCAGUGGCGAAGGCGGCUC
rnacentral:rRNA from 1 species